GACGAAGGAUCCAAGCGUUAUCCGGAUUUACUGGGCUUAAAGGGCGCGCAGGCGGAUUUAUAAGUCAGUGGUGAAAGCCUGCAGCUUAACUGCAGAACUGCCAUUGAUACUGUCAAUCUUGAAUAUGGUUGAUGUGGGCGGAAUAUGACAUGUAGCGGUGAAAUGCUUAGAUAUGUCAUAGAACACCGAUUGCGAAGGCAGCUCACAAAGCCAUUAUUGACGCUGAGGCACGAAAGCGUGGGGAGCGAACAGG
rnacentral:rRNA from 1 species